rnacentral:rRNA from 1 species
ARAAAWUKCCUUARGUACGGCGAGUGAGCGGCAAAAGCUCAAAUUUGAAAUCUGGCACCUUCGGUGUCCSAGUUGUAAUUUGAAGAAGGUAACUUUGGAGUUGGCUCUUGUCUAUGUUCCUUGGAACAGGACGUCACAGAGGGUGAGAAUCCCGUGCGAUGAGAUGCCCAAUUCUAUGUAAAGUGCUUUCGAAGAGUCGAGUUGUUUGGGAAUGCAGCUCUAAGUGGGUGGUAAAUUCCAUCUAAAGCUAAAUAUUGGCGAGAGACCGAUAGCGAACAAGUACAGUGAUGGAAAGAUGAAAAGAACUUUGAAAAGAGAGUGAAAAAGUACGUGAAAUUGUUGAAAGGGAAGGGCUUGAGAUCAGACUUGGUAUUUUGCGAUCCUUUCCUUCUUGGUUGGGUUCCUCGCAGCUUACUGGGCCAGCAUCGGUUUGGAUGGUAGGAUAAUGACUAAGGAAUGUGGCUCUACUUCGGUGGAGUGUUAUAGCCUUGGUUGAUACUGCCUGUCUAGACCGAGGACUGCGUCUUUGACUAGGAUGCUGGCAUAAUGAUCUUAAGCCACCCGUCUUGAAACACGGACCCA